AUCGGUCCUCGGUAGUGGUCUCCUGGACCUUUCGCGAGUGUCUCGGUCUGUCCGGUGAGAUUUGCGGAGAACCAGCCCAGUGGACCUCGAUCGAUGACCGCC
rfam:Mobiluncus curtisii ATCC 43063, complete genome.